UACGAAGGGAGCUAGCGUUGUUCGGAAUCACUGGGCGUAAAGCGCACGUAGGCGGAUGUGUCAGUCAGGGGUGAAAUCCCGGAGCUCAACUUCGGAACUGCCUUUGAUACAGCACGUCUUGAGUCCGAUAGAGGUGGGUGGAAUUCCUAGUGUAGAGGUGAAAUUCGUAGAUAUUAGGAAGAACGACCGGUGGCGAAGGCGGCCUUCUGG
rnacentral:rRNA from 1 species